CAAUAGCGUAUAUUAAAGUUGUUGCGGUUAAAAAGCUCGUAGUUGGACUUCUGCAGGGGACGACCGGUCUACCCACUGGGUUAGCAUCUGGCUCGGCUUUUGCAUUUUUCAGGCACAGGCUGCUGCACUUGAUUGUGUGGUGCUUACGUCUGAACCUUUACCUUGAAUAAAACAGAGUGUUCAAAGCAGGCUUUCGCCUGAAUGUAUCAGCAUGGAAGUAAUGGUUAAUAGGAAUAGUUGGGGGCAUUCGUAUUUAACUGUCAGAGGUGAAAUUCUUGGAUUUGUUAAAGACGAACUACUGCGAAAGCAUUUGCCAAGGAUGUUUUCAUUGA
rnacentral:rRNA from 1 species